AUGUUAGCGGCGGACGGGUGAGUAACACGUGGGUAACCUGCCUGUAAGACUUUUGGGCCCGGUUAAAUUUCCCGGGGGGGGAUAACUCCGGGAAACCGGGGCUAAUACCGGAUGGUUGUUUGAACCGCAUGGUUCAGACAUAAAAGGUGGCUUCGGCUACCACUUACAGAUGGACCCGCGGCGCAUUAGCUAGUUGGUGAGGUAACGGCUCACCAAGGCAACGAUGCGUAGCCGACCUGAGAGGGUGAUCGGCCACACUGGGACUGAGACACGGCCCAGACUCCUACGGGAGGCAGCAGUAGGGAAUCUUCCGCAAUGGACGAAAGUCUGACGGAGCAACGCCGCGUGAGUGAUGAAGGUUUUCGGAUCGUAAAGCUCUGUUGUUAGGGAAGAACAAGUGCCGUUCAAAUAGGGCGGCACCUUGACGGUACCUAACCAGAAAGCCACGGCUAACUACGUGCCAGCAGCCGCGGUAAUACGUAGGUGGCAAGCGUUGUCCGGAAUUAUUGGGCGUAAAGGGCUCGCAGGCGGUUUCUUAAGUCUGAUGUGAAAGCCCCCGGCUCAACCGGGGAGGGUCAUUGGAAACUGGGGAACUUGAGUGCAGAAGAGGAGAGUGGAAUUCCACGUGUAGCGUGUGGUGAAAUGCGUAGAGAUGUGGAGGAACACCAGUGGCGAAGGCGACUCUCUGGUCUGUAACUGACGCUGAGGAGCGAAAGCGUGGGGAGCGAACAGGAUUAGAUACCCUGGUAGUCCACGCCGUAAACGAUGAGUGCUAAGUGUUAGGGGGUUUCCGCCCCUUAGUGCUGCAGCUAACGCAUUAAGCACUCCGCCUGGGGAGUACGGUCGCAAGACUGAAACUCAAAGGAAUUGACGGGGGCCCGCACAAGCGGUGGAGCAUGUGGUUUAAUUCGAAGCAACGCGAAGAACCUUACCAGGUCUUGACAUCCUCUGACAAUCCUAGAGAUAGGACGUCCCCUUCGGGGGCAGAGUGACAGGUGGUGCAUGGUUGUCGUCAGCUCGUGUCGUGAGAUGUUGGGUUAAGUCCCGCAACGAGCGCGUGUGUAACCCUUGAUCUUAGUUGCCAGCAUUCAGUUGGGCACUCUAAGGUGACUGCCGGUGACAAACCGGAGGAAGGUGGGGAUGACGUCAAAUCAUCAUGCCCCUUAUGACCUGGGCUACACACGUGCUACAAUGGACAGGGGUUUUGAACAAAGGGCAGCGAAACCGCGAGGUUAAGCCAAUCCCACAAAUCUGUUCUCAGUUCGGAUCGCAGUCUGCAACUCGACUGCGUGAAGCUGGAAUCGCUAGUAAUCGCGGAUCAGCAUGCCGCGGUGAAUACGUUCCCGGGCCUUGUACACACCGCCCGUCACACCACGAGAGUUUGUAACACCCGAAGUCGGUGAGGUAACCUUUUAGGGGUGUGCCCAAAUUCGAGAGCCAGCCGCCGAAGGUGGGACAGAUGAUUGGGGUGAAGUCGUAACAAGGUAGCCGUAUCGGAAGGUGCGGCUGGAUCACCUCC
rnacentral:rRNA from 1 species